CAACUAACGCUGUUUUGUUAAAUGAAGAUGUUCCAAACUUGAUCUCCUAGGACCUUUUGAGGUGAGAACCAUCCAUCCAUCUGUCCUACAGGCACACCUCUAUUGAUCUGAAGGACAAAGCCAGCAAAAUAAGAGCCAACUCAGCCUUGAUGGGAUCUGCCCACGGAUUUCCUGAGCUUGUCUGAUCCUGGGACAGAAAGAGGGAGGAGACUGUUUGGUCUCCUGGAACCAGGCACCCUUCUUGUAGAAGAGGGAAGAAACUCCAGUGGGUCCCAAGUCUGCUUCCCGUAGUAGCCCUAGGACCCAACCCAAGGCCCCAGAGAUCGCCCUGUUGGAAUCAUCCGGAAGUUGUCAGUCUUCAUGAUCCAUUCCGUGGCGAGCUGGGAAAAAACGCAGUUGCUAAAUCAACGUCUGAACAGUGUGAGGCUCCUGCCGUCCCAGGAGUCCCUGUGCAAGUGUCCUGAGCACGAGAUCACUGCGCACAGAAGACA
rnacentral:lncRNA from 1 species